rnacentral:rRNA from 1 species
UGAGGAAUAUUGGUCAAUGGGCGGGAGCCUGAACCAGCCAAGUCGCGUGAGGGAAGACGGUCCUAUGGAUUGUAAACCUCUUUUGUCGGGGAGCAAAAAGGCCUCGUGAGGUCAUAAAUGAGAGUACCCGAAGAAAAAGCAUCGGCUAACUCCGUGCCAGCAGCCGCGGUAAUACGGAGGAUGCGAGCGUUAUCCGGAUUUAUUGGGUUUAAAGGGUGCGUAGGCGGACUGGAAAGUCAGCGGUAAAAUUGAGAGGCUCAACCUCUUCCCGCCGUUGAAACUGUCGGUCUUGAGUGGGCGAGA